GCACUGAUGAAGAGUCCCAUACUAGGAUGAAACAGCUGUCCAGUAC
rfam:Schistosoma mattheei strain Denwood, Zambia genome assembly, scaffold: SMTD_scaffold0011316